rnacentral:rRNA from 1 species
UACGGGGGGAGCAAGCGUUGUUCGGAUUUACUGGGCGUAAAGGGCGCGUAGGCGGCGUGACAAGUCACUUGUGAAAUCUCCGGGCUUAACUCGGAACGGUCAAGUGAUACUGUCGUGCUAGAGUACAGAAGGGGCAACUGGAAUUCUCGGUGUAGCGGUGAAAUGCGUAGAUAUCGAGAGGAACACCUGCGGCGAAGGCGGGUUGCUGGGCUGAUACUGACGCUGAGGCGCGAAAGCUAGGGGAGCGAACGGG